UACAGAGGUCUCAAGCGUUGUUCGGAUUUAUUGGGCGUAAAGGGUGCGUAGGCGGCGCGGUAAGUCGGGUGUGAAAUCUCGGGGCUUAACUCCGAAACUGCAUUCGAUACUACCGUGCUUGAGGACUGGAGAGGAGACUGGAAUUUACGGUGUAGCGGUGAAAUGCGUAGAUAUCGUAAGGAAGACCAGUGGCGAAGGCGGGUCUCUGGACAGUUCCUGACGCUGAGGCACGAAGGCCAGGGGAGCAAACGGG
rnacentral:rRNA from 1 species